GCCAGGCACAGUGGCACAUGCCUGUAAUCCUAGCAACUAGGGAGGCUGAGAUAGGAGGAUCACGAAUUCAAAGCCAGCCUCCACAAUGGUGAGGCGCUAAGCAACUCAGUGAGAUCCUGUCUCUA
rnacentral:sRNA from 1 species